rnacentral:snRNA from 1 species
AGUGAAAUACCACUACUUU